rnacentral:tRNA from 1 species
GUCAGCGUGGCCGAAUGGUUUAAGGCGCUGGGUGCAGAUAGCGAUUUGCUUUUGCAGCCAUGGAUCGUGGGUUCGAACCCCACUUGUAACA